rnacentral:rRNA from 1 species
AAGACCUUGCGCUUUUGGAGCGGCCGAUGCCUGAUUAGCUUGUUGGUAAGGUAAAAGCUUACCAAGGCUUCGAUCAGUAGCUGGUCUGAGAGGACGACCAGCCACACUGGGACUGAGACACGGUCCAGACUCCUACGGGAGGCAGCAGUGGGGAAUUUUGGACAAUGGGCGCAAGCCUGAUCCAGCCAUGCCGCGUGAGUGAAGAAGGCCUUCGGGUUGUAAAGCUCUUUCAGUCGGGAAGAAAAGGUUGCGACUAAUAAUCGCAAUUCAUGACGGUACCGGAAGAAGAAGCACCGGCUAACUACGUGCCAGCAGCCGCGGUAAUACGUAGGGUGCGAGCGUUAAUCGGAAUUACUGGGCGUAAAGGGUGCGCAGGCGGUUUUGUAAGUCAGAUGUGAAAUCCCCGGGCUUAACCUGGGAACU